rnacentral:rRNA from 1 species
ACAGCAGCAGCCGCGGGAAAACGUAGGGUGCAAGCGUUAAUCGGAAUUACUGGGCGUAAAGCGUGCGCAGGCGGUUCUAUAAGACAGAUGUGAAAUCCCCGGGCUCAACCUGGGAACUGCAUUUGUGACUGUAGAGCUGGAGUGCGGCAGAGGGGGAUGGAAUUCCGCGUGUAGCAGUGAAAUGCGUAGAUAUGCGGAGGAACACCGAUGGCGAAGGCAAUCCCCUGGGCCUGCACUGACGCUCAUGCACGAAAGCGUGGGGAGCAAACAGGAUUAGAUACCCCCGUAGUCCCUGUCUCUUAUAC